rnacentral:rRNA from 1 species
AUGUUUUGCUCCUCAUGUUAUUUGGUGUCUGUCAACUUGUUAGGAAUUCUUGUUUUUUUUAACUCAAAAAAAAUCUUGCUUUUCUUCUUCUUCCUGGAGUACACCAAGCGGUGUAUCAUCAUGCAUCCAAAGGAGAAAGCCAGGCAGGUUGUUGGCUUGGUGGUUCAGCCUCCUAAACUGGCCCAGGAAUCUGAUCCUGCCCAAACAUGCUGCAGGGUCAAACUAGCCGGCUACAUAAUCUGGUGGCCUGCAACUUUCCACCAUUAUCAUCACUUAUCACCGCGAAAGCGCAUGAUGAUUCUCGUUUUCGCUUGUAAAGAUGAAGUCUAG